GUGUCAGCCGCCGCGGUAAUACAGAGGGUGCGAGCGUUAAUCGGAGUUACUGGGCGUAAAGGGCGCGUAGGCGGUUUGUUAAGUGAUAUGUGAAAUCCCUGGGCUUAACCUAGGAACUGCAUGUCAUACUGGCGAGCUAGAGUAUUGUAGAGGGUAGUGGAAUUUCCGGUGUAGCGGUGAAAUGCGUAGAGAUCGGAAGGAACACCAGUGGCGAAGGCGGCUACCUGGACAAAUACUGACGCUGAGGCGCGAAAGCGUGGGGAGCAAACAGGAUUAGAAACCCCAGUAGUCC
rnacentral:rRNA from 1 species